GAUGAACGCUGGCGGAGGGCAGAAUACAUGCAAGUCGAGCGAACGGACGAGAAGCUUGCUUCUCUGAUGUUAGCGGCGGACGGGUGAGUAACACGUGGAUAACCUACCUAUAAGACUGGGAUAACUUCGGGAAACCGGAGCUAAUACCGGAUAAUAUUUUGAACCGCAUGGUUCAAAAGUGAAAGACGGUCUUGCUGUCACUUAUAGAUGGAUCCGCGCUGCAUUAGCUAGUUGGUAAGGUAACGGCUUACCAAGGCAACGAUGCAUAGCCGACCUGAGAGGGUGAUCGGCCACACUGGAACUGAGACACGGUCCAGACUCCUACGGGAGGCAGCAGUAGGGAAUCUUCCGCAAUGGGCGAAAGCCUGACGGAGCAACGCCGCGUGAGUGAUGAAGGUCUUCGGAUCGUAAAACUCUGUUAUUAGGGAAGAACAUAUGUGUAAGUAACUGUGCACAUCUUGACGGUACCUAAUCAGAAAGCCACGGCUAACUACGUG
rnacentral:rRNA from 1 species